CCUACGGGGCGCUGCAGUGGGGAAUAUUGGACAAUGGGCGAAAGCCUGAUCCAGCCAUGCCGCGUGUGUGAAGAAGGCCUUCGGGUUGUAAAGCACUUUCAGUGGGGAAGAAAGCCUUGGGGCUAAUACCCUCGAGGAAGGACAUCACCCACAGAAGAAGCACCGGCUAACUCCGUGCCAGCAGCCGCGGUAAUACGGAGGGGUGCGAGCGUUAAUCGGAAUUACUGGGCGUAAAGCGCGCGUAGGCGGUCUGAUAAGCCGGUUGUGAAAGCCCCGGGCUCAACCUGGGAACGGCAUCCGGAACUGUCAGGCUAGAGUGCAGGAGAGGAAGGUAGAAUUCCCGGUGUAGCGGUGAAAUGCGUAGAGAUCGGGAGGAAUACCAGUGGCGAAGGCGGCCUUCUGGACUGACACUGACGCUGAGGUGCGAAAGCGUGGGUAGCAAACAGGAUUAGAUACCCCAGUAGUC
rnacentral:rRNA from 1 species